UGGGGAAUUUUGGACAAUGGGCGAAAGCCUGAUCCAGCCAUGCCGCGUGCAGGAUGAAGGCCUUCGGGUUGUAAACUGCUUUUGUACGGAACGAAACGGUCUUUUCUAAUACAGAAGGCUAAUGACGGUACCGUAAGAAUAAGCACCGGCUAACUACGUGCCAGCAGCCGCGGUAAUACGUAGGGUGCAAGCGUUAAUCGGAAUUACUGGGCGUAAAGCGUGCGCAGGCGGUUAUGUAAGACAGUUGUGAAAUCCCCGGGCUCAACCUGGGAACUGCAUCUGUGACUGCAUAGCUAGAGUACGGUAGAGGGGGAUGGAAUUCCGCGUGUAGCAGUGAAAUGCGUAGAUAUGCGGAGGAACACCGAUGGCGAAGGCAAUCCCCUGGACCUGUACUGACGCUCAUGCACGAAAGCGUGGGGAGCAAACAGGAUUAGAUACCCAAGUAGUCCCUGAGCGGGCUGGCAAGGCGCAU
rnacentral:rRNA from 1 species